AUUGAACGCUGGCGGCAGGCCGAACACAUGCAAGUCGAACGGUAACAGGAAGAAGCUUGCUUCUUUGCUGACGAGUGGCGGACGGGUGAGUAAUGUCUGGGAAACCGCCUGAUGGAGGGGGAUAACUACUGGAAACGGUAGCUAAUACCGCAUAACGUCGCAAGCCCAAAAAGGGGUACCUUCGGGCCUCUUGCCAUCGGGUGUGCCCAGAUGGGAUUAGCUAGUAGGUGGGGUAACGGCUCACCUAGGCGACGAGCUCUAGCUGGUCUGAGAGGAUGAGCAGCCACACUGGAACUGGGACACGGUCCAGACGCCUACGGGAGGCAGCAGUGGGGAAUAUUGCACAAUGGGCGCGAGCCUGAUGCAGCGAGGCCGCGUGUAUGAAGAAGGCCUUCGGGUUGUAAAGUACUUUCAGCGGGGAGGAAGGGAGUAAAGUUAAUACCUUUGCUCAUUGACGUUACCCGCAGAAGAAGCACCGGCUAACUCCGUG
rnacentral:rRNA from 1 species